rnacentral:rRNA from 1 species
AUGCACCUCCAUCUCCAUCUCCAUCACCCAUCCAUCCAUCCAUCCAUGGCGGUCUCCAAGCCUCUCCUCCUCGCCGGCGUCGUCCUCCUUGUUGUCGCCCUGCUCGUGGCCGUGGACGCUGAUGGUUCCUCCUCGGCGGCGGGCGUUGGCGGCGGGAGGACGCUGCUGGCCAUAGACUGCCCCAAGGCGUGCGAGGCGCGGUGCGGGAAAAACUGGAAGAACGAGAUGUGCAACAAGAUGUGCAACAUCUGCUGCGGCAAGUGCAGCUGCGUCCCCUCCGGCACCGGCCAGGACACCCGCAACGAGUGCCCCUGCUACGCCAACAUGAAGAACACCAAGAACGGCAAACCCAAAUGCCCCUAA